rnacentral:piRNA from 1 species
UCAGCUUUUCUGCCAAACAGGAUGGACAUA